rfam:Daphnia pulex DAPPTscaffold_24_Cont1460, whole genome shotgun sequence.
GUCGGCUACGGUGAUAUCUAUCCGGUCACACCCUUAGGGAAGGUUAUCGGAAGCGUCUGCUGCAUUUGCGGAGUACUGGUCAUUGCCUUGCCUAUCCCCAUCGUCGUCAACAAU